AUAUUGCACAAUGGGGGAAACCCUGAUGCAGCAACGCCGCGUGAGGGAAGAAGGUUUUCGGAUUGUAAACCUCUGUCCUUGGUGACGAUAAUGACGGUAGCCAAGGAGGAAGCUCCGGCUAACUACGUGCCAGCAGCCGCGGUAAUACGUAGGGAGCGAGCGUUGUCCGGAUUUCCUGGGUGUAAAGGGUGCGUAGGCGGCCAUGCAAGUCAGGUGUGAAAACCCGGGGCUUAACCCCGGGACUGCAUUUGAAACUGUGUGGCUUGAGUGAAGUAGAGGCAGGCGGAAUUCCCGGUGUAGCGGUGAAAUGCGUAGAGAUCGGGAGGAACACCAGUGGCGAAGGCGGCCUGCUGGGCUUUAACUGACGCUGAGGCACGAAGGCCAGGGGAGCGAAAG
rnacentral:rRNA from 1 species